GACAGAGGGUGCAAACGUUGUUCGGAAUUACUGGGCGUAAAGAGCGUGUAGGCGGCCAUACAGGUCAGCUGUGAAAACUCGAGGCUCAACCUCGAGACGUCGGUUGAAACCGUAUGGCUAGAGUCCGGAAGAGGGGAGUGGAAUUCCCGGUGUAGCGGUGAAAUGCGCAGAUAUCGGGAAGAACACCCGUGGCGAAGGCGGCUCUCUGGGACGGUACUGACGCUGAGACGCGAAAGCGUGGGGAGCGAACAGG
rnacentral:rRNA from 1 species